rnacentral:rRNA from 1 species
AUGUUUGUUCAUGGGAUUGAGGACAUUGUGGAUGAGUAUUUGCAUCUUGUUGGUCAGAAACAUGACAGUGGAUGGAGUGCCUAUAUGAAGAAAGGAUUCAAACAACCAAAUGUUUUCUUCUCUUUAAACAGGGUAGCUUCUUUGGUUAAGGAAGCGGAGGUCAAUCUUGUGCACCUGUUUCAGGCUAAAGAUCGAUGGGUGUUAAUGGUAGAUAGUGGGUAUAUGAAUGACUCAAGUUACAUUGUUGAGAGGUCUCAGCAUCUAGCAAGCACUUCACAUUCCCUUGCUGAAGAAGAUCUCGUGGAGGUUGAUGGAAACAGAAAAAAGCUUGAGCAGUGGUUGGCAGGUGAUGAGUUGGAACGCUAUGUGAUAGUGCUGCAUGGUAUGGGAGGGCUUGGUAAAACAACUUUGGCUGCAAAUGUCUACAGGAAGGAAACAGAAAAUUUUGAUUGCCACUGUUGGGUCUCUGUCUCUCAAACUUAUUCCAGAGAAGAUGUUUUAAAAAAUUAA